rnacentral:lncRNA from 1 species
CUUUCAUGGGUAAAAUUGACCUAUCCGAAUUUUUUUACUGCAAGGGGCGUACCCAUCAGAAUAUUGCUGACACUUAAAAAUACAAUACAAGAUAAUAUAUGAUACACAACUGUCUAGAUACCAAAGAACUCCUGAUAAAAACUACAAUUGUUAUACGUGUGCAUGUAAAAUAGAAUUCUUUAAGAGGGGUCUAAAUACAGCACAAAUAAUAUUUUCCAAAAGACCAAAGAAGACUAAACGCAUUUGACUAACAGGUCGAACAUCUGAUGUUCUUAAAGCCUGCUGACUGCCAUUGGCGAUUGCCAAUUGAAUAGAUCAUAAGAUGUAACAAAUGGAUCUUUAUACUAAUUAACUACCAAACAUAAAACAAUAAACUUGAGGCAAAGAUGGUAAACCACAUUUGGAGGGUAUUAUAACUUACCUCAAUUUAGGAUAGACUCUUGAGGUUUUUCUGGUCAACAAC